GGGCGAGGCGGCGCCACGGCCAUUAUGGCGGCAGGGUGCUGGUAACAGCUCCUAACGGCCCGGCCCGGCCCGGCCGUUAAAACCGUCGCUCCGCGCUCAGCUCCGCGUUUGGCUCCGCCUCUGGCCGUGGGGCUGGCUGAGGGGCGGCGGCGGCGGGAGCCGGAGCCGGAGCCGGAGCCGGAGCCGGAGCCGCGUCCGUUCAGCUGCGGUUGCUUACACGGCGCGGGGGGACUGCGGCCGCUAGCUCAGGCCCGAGCUGCUUCAGGAAGCCUUAGGCGGGGCCCAGAGAUGGAUUCGUUGGAAAGGUCAACAAUUAGAAGUGAGCAAAAAUCCAGAAAAUUCUUAAAAAGCCUGAUAAGAAAGCAGCCUCGAGACCUUCUUCUUGUAAUUGGAACUGGAGUAAGUGCUGCUGUUGCACCAGGAAUCCCAGCGCUGUGCUCCUGGAGAAGCUGCAUUGAGGCUGUAAUUGAAGCAGCUGAACAGUUGGAGGUGCUGCAUCCAGGAGAUGUUGCUGAAUUUCGUAAAAAAGUGGUCAAAGAUAGAGACCUGCUUGUGGUUGCACAUGAUCUCAUCAGGAAAAUGUCACCACGUACUGGGGAUACUAAGCCCAACUUCUUCCAGGAUUGCUUAAUGGAGGUGUUUGAUAACUUAGAACAACACAUUCAGAACCCUGUUGUUCUGCAAUCAAUCCUGAGACUAAUGGAGACAGGCACAAUGGUUCUGACUACAAAUUAUGACAAUUUACUUGAAAUAUUUGGUCAUCAACAGGGUAAACCUAUGGAGUCUUUGGACUUGAAAGAUAAGGAUAAGGAAGUUCUUCAAAAUUUGUAUCAAACAAAGUCUUUUUUGUUUUUGGGCUGUGGAGAGACUCUACGUGAUCAGAUAUUCCAAGCUCUUUUUCUUUAUACUGUAAAGAAUAAGGUGGAUUUAGAACAUUAUAUGUUGGUGCUUAAAGAAAACAAAGACCACUUUUUUAAGCUCCAGACAGAUAUGCUUCUGCAUGGGAUAAAAGUAGUAUCUUAUGGGGACUGCUUCAAACAAUUCCCAGAGUAUGUACAAGAUCUGACUGCUCAAAUCUGCAAGCACAGAAGUCCAGAUGCUGACUGAGUGGACAGCACAACGCUGUUGGGUAAACAAUGUUCUUAUUUUCACAAAGUUUCAUUAUCUACCAGAGAUACAAAAAUAAGUCUGUAACUUACAAAGUAAUCAAAUGACAAUUGUGCAAUUCUCUGAUUUAGCUGCAAAAGUCUACUUAACAGAUUCUUUCUCUUCUUUCCAUAUAGUAGCAUGUAACUGCUGGGUGUCAUCAGUAAGUAAAAUGACAAACUCCAGCAAACAUAUAUCAAAAAUAUUAGUGCUGAUUAAAUUAAGAUAUUAACAUCCAUGAGUUCUGGCUUAAAUUUCCAAACAUAGAUUCUCUCUUUUUAAAGAAGACAUUUAUGUAAGGUAUGUAAUACUAAAGGUGAAUUUUUGAAGUGUUGUACAAUUAUCUUUGUGAUCCUUUGUGAAAAUGGAUCACAGGAAGUUCUGCACCAACAUGCGAAAGAACUUCAUGGUAAGGGUGACGGAGGACUGGAACAGGCUGCCCAGGGAGGUUGUGGAGUCUCCUUCUCUGGAGAUAUUCAAGGCCCAUCUGGAUGCCUACCUGGGCAGCCUGCUCUAGGGAGCCUACUUUGGAAGGGGUUGGACUUGAUGAUCUCUUUAGGUCCCUUCCAACCCCUACGAUUCUGUGAUCCUUCUGAAGCAGAGCAAUAAUACACUUUUUUGUAUAAAAUAGCAAAGUAUCCCUUUGAAGCAACACUUCAACUUAAAAACAUAGCACUUCUAAGAUUUUUGUGCUGCUGCAGCAAAUGUCAGGAUUACAAUGGAUCAGAAUUGUAUAGAAGUAUCACUUCUUUAUUGUAUGUUAAGGGUCUUCUGCAUUGCAGGAGAUUAAAAACCCCACUCUUCCACAAUCAAAAAGUAUGCAAGGUCCAAGAUACUUAUGGGCAGGUGUAAUAACAGAUUAAUUUUGGAAUUUGAUUUUAAGCAUAUCUGUCUUUGAGAUGAGAUCAUAAAUCCCCUUUUUCAGGAAAGCACAACCAGGCACCAAUGGAGAAGAAACCAGAUCAACUUAAUGCAGUUCAACUUAGAACUUCAUGUGUGGACAGUGCUAAAAGGAAAUUAGGAGAAAAUGGUACUGAGUCUCCCAAGAGAAUCAAGCAAUCAGAUAACGGUAUACCCACUAUUGAAUGAGAGGGAAGAAAAACACAAAACCCAAAGGUUUUUAACAGCAGAUGUCUUAUUUCUGCAUUGAAGGUUUUGAGCUAAGUAUUUCCAUGGUUUCAAGUGGAAUAAAAAUUGUGUAUCUAUCUUAGCAUUUUCUUUUCUAGGGAUGUAAAUGUGUAAUGCAUGUGAAAUUUUGAGAGUAAUACUAGUCACUCUGCAGGCACUUCUGUACUACUGAAACUGUAUCUGUAAGGUCAUUUAGAAGCAUAUAGAUAAAAGUUUUACCUGCCUGUU